UUAGACUGUUUGGGCGAAUCAACCACAACUCGUUGAACAAAUUGUUAGUACUACUUUGUGUACUCUUUGACGAAUAUGAAGACCCCGGCUAUAGUUGUUGCUGCUUGUUGCUUGGCAAUCGCGUCAGGGCAGUCCUAUUUAAUGGGUCAGGGACAAAUGUAUAGUAACCCUUAUCGCUACCACGGAAUGAAUAAUGGUUACAAUGGAAUGAAUAGUGGUUACUAUGGAAUGAAUAAUGGUUACUAUGGAAUGAAUAAUGGUUACUAUGGAAUGAAUAAUGGUUAUAAUGGAAUAGGCAGCGGUUACAACGGAAUGGACAAUGGCUACAUAGGGAUGAACAGUCUUUCAGGAAUGAACAGCGGUUAUAUGGGCCUUGGUGGAUAUCGCUCACCAUACCAAAGUUACAGCAGACACAACAGUUUAUAUCCCCGUUAUCAGGGUUAUCAACGCAAUUCUUAUUAAGCUCAAGUUAUUAUAGAAAAAAGCAGAUGCAACCUGAAAUAUACGUAACAUAUCGAAUUCAUGUUUAUGCUUUAUCAUGAAAAUAAAUAAUUUUAAACAG
rnacentral:sRNA from 1 species